AUCCAAGUGUUUGUCGUCCCUGCAACUGUCAAGACUCCAAGAUGGCACGUUAAGUGACGCAAGGCAGCUGGCCAAAAAUUCUAUAGAAUCCUUGCCGGCUUUCUAUUUGGUGUUCAGGCACUGACGCCAUGAUUUAUAAACAACUCCCAUGAUAUGGCUUGUGUAUGUCUGCAAUGUGUCUCAGUGCAACGUAAACUUUUCGAAAAUGCUUCUGAUGAUGACUACCAGAGGCAGCUAAUACUAAUUUAGCGACUACCGACUUGAUAUGACAACAAAUCAGAAGAAAUUGUGAAGCGGACCACGUGGCAGAUACGAACUAGUUGAAACUUAUCAAAAACUGCGUCCAGUGGACCAAUGCUCAGGAGGAGAAUGCAGUUAUUUCCUCGUCAAUAAAAUGGAAUGCUGCUGAAUUUAAUCAAUAAUUUCCAGUCGCCUACGAAGGACAACGGUCAUUUGACGACAAAUCUUGGCGAUAAUUCGGGUUAAAUGGAUGAAAGCUAUUAACUCAAGUUAUAUCGGACAAGAUAUUGCGAAGAUUUGGAGCAAAUAUGCCGUUAGGAGCACAGUGCUAUUUAAUUAGUGUUAAAGUAGUUUCAUAAUACAAACACCGCUAAUAACCUUACUGCUCCUUAAGUUUUAACCAGCCAGCGUAUUUGAAUAUUCCUAUCUUAGGUCCUACGGAUUAAAUAUGCAAUAAGUUAUUAGAUUGUUUCUGCUAUGUGAAUGUGCUAAGAAUAUAAUGACUGUUCUCGAGAUACAGAUCGUUGGAAAA